CCUCUGAAAUUCAGUUCUUCAG
rnacentral:miRNA from 1 species